rnacentral:snRNA from 1 species
GUGCUGGAUUCAGCAGCACAUAUACUAAAAUUGGAAUGAUAUAGGGAAGAUUAGCAUGGCCCCUGCAAAGGAUGACAUGCAAAUCAUGCAGCAUUAAAAGAAAAAA